rnacentral:rRNA from 1 species
GAUGAACGCUGGCGGCGUGCUUAAUACAUGCAAGUCGAACGGGAGAUUUUGUAGUAAUACGAAAUCUUUAGUGGCGAACGGGCGAGUAACGAGUUGGUGACCUGCCCCGAAGUGUGGGAUAACAGUCCGAAAGGAUUGCUAAUACCGCAUGUGAUUGCCGAGUUUAGAAGUCGGUAAUUAAAGCAGUAAUGCGCUUCGGGAGGGACCUGCUUUCCAUCAGCUAGUUGGUGAGGUAAUGGCCCACCAAGGCUACGACGGAUAUGGGACCUGAGAGGGUGGUCCCACGCAAUGGCACUGAAACACGGGCCAUACACCUACGGGAGGCAG